rnacentral:rRNA from 1 species
CACAGAGGUGCCAAGCGUUAGGCGGAAUCACUGGGCUUAAAGCGCGUGUAGGCGGGUCGUUAAGUGUCCGAGUGAAAUCCCACGGCUCAACCGUGGAACUGCCGGGCAUACUGGCGAUCUUGAGGCAUUCAGGGGCGAGCGGAACAAAUGGUGGAGCGGUGAAAUGCGUAGAUAUCAUUUGGAACGCCAAUGGUGAAAACAGCUCGCUGGGAAUGAUCUGACGCUGAGACGCGAAAGCCAGGGGAGCGAACGGG